CUAGGUGACUGUGCUUCAGCAAGCAAUCUCCAGUGGUGCCUCCCUGACUCAAGCAGUCUGUGAUAAAACAGUCUGGAAAUCCUAUUGCAUCCUGUUGAACCCUGCAGUCAAACUGAAGCUUUGCAGAAGCAGAUCCUACGCAGAAGGUAUCAGGUUUGUGCCUGAAGAUUGAAAAGCUGCAUCCUUCGCACUUUGCAGGUGCGAAGAGGACACAAUGAAAUCGUAGUGUCAUUGCACAAAAUGAGUUCUUACACUGACUGUGGAAAGACUGCGUAGCAACCUGAUGGAGAGAGACGCAGAUCCUGGGAUCCAUAAGAACAUUGCCUUUGUCUGGAAUGCUUCUCUUGAGGCUGCUACAGGGAUAAAUAACUGAUGCUGAAGGAGCCAGUCAGGAUCUCUGUAAAAUAAAUAAAUGAAUAAGAAUGGUGUGUGGAUUUUAUAACCUGCAACUGUGUUAUAAAAGAAGGAAGGGCAUUUUGUGGGCUCCAUUACAUAAUAUUAUUGCAGAGCUUAAUUGGUAAAGAUGCAC